AAAAAGGGUUUACCAAUGAGACACAUGUUGCCUCCUUCAUGGAAACCCUAGGAGAAGAAACGGACAGAUUCCCCUUCCCUGCCUCCGCCCCAGCCCAGCCCCAGCGGUCCGUCUCACUCGGUUGUUGCUGUAAUGCUGGUCUCCUGUCUGUGUGCGGCACUGCAGAUGUGGCGGGCAGGGGCUUGGGAGCUCUGGGGCAGGCGCUGAAGGCAGGAGAAGGGCCAGAGAAUGUCGUCCCAGCCAGCAGGGAACCAGACCUCCCCCGGGGCCACAGAGGACUACUCCUAUGGCAGCUGGUACAUCGAUGAGCCCCAGGGGGGCGAGGAGCUCCAGCCAGAGGGGGGGGCCUGACGCAGGCCUGAGCCAGCCUUCAUUUGCUCUGCAGGGAAGUGCCCUCCUGCCACACCAGCAUACCACCCGGCCUGUACCACGCCUGCCUGGCCUCGCUGUCAAUCCUUGUGCUGCUGCUCCUGGCCAUGCUGGUGAGGCGCCGCCAGCUCUGGCCUGACUGUGUGCGUGGCAGGCCCGGCCUGCCCAGCCCUGUGGAUUUCUUGGCUGGGGACAGGCCCCGGGCAGUGCCUGCUGCUGUUUUCAUGGUCCUCCUGAGCUCCCUGUGUUUGCUGCUCCCCGACGAGGACGCAUUGCCCUUCCUGACUCUCGCCUCAGCACCCAGCCAAGAUGGGAAAACUGAGGCUCCAAGAGGGGCCUGGAAGAUACUGGGACUGUUCUAUUAUGCUGCCCUCUACUACCCUCUGGCUGCCUGUGCCACGGCUGGCCACACAGCUGCACACCUGCUCGGCAGCACGCUGUCCUGGGCCCACCUUGGGGUCCAGGUCUGGCAGAGGGCAGAGUGUCCCCAGGUGCCCAAGAUCUACAAGUACUACUCCCUGCUGGCCUCCCUGCCUCUCCUGCUGGGCCUCGGAUUCCUGAGCCUUUGGUACCCUGUGCAGCUGGUGAGAAGCUUCAGCCGUAGGACAGGAGCAGGCUCCAAGGGGCUGCAGAGCAGCUACUCUGAGGAAUAUCUGAGGAACCUCCUUUGCAGGAAGAAGCUGGGAAGCAGCUACCACACCUCCAAGCAUGGCUUCCUGUCCUGGGCCCGCGUCUGCUUGAGACACUGCAUCUACACUCCACAGCCAGGAUUCCAUCUCCCGCUGAAGCUGGUGCUUUCAGCUACACUGACAGGGACGGCCAUUUACCAGGUGGCCCUGCUGCUGCUGGUGGGCGUGGUACCCACUAUCCAGAAGGUGAGGGCAGGGGUCACCACGGAUGUCUCCUACCUGCUGGCCGGCUUUGGAAUCGUGCUCUCCGAGGACAAGCAGGAGGUGGUGGAGCUGGUGAAGCACCAUCUGUGGGCUCUGGAAGUGUGCUACAUCUCAGCCUUGGUCUUGUCCUGCUUACUCACCUUCCUGGUCCUGAUGCGCUCACUGGUGACACACAGGACCAACCUUCGAGCUCUGCACCGAGGAGCUGCCCUGGACUUGAGUCCCUUGCAUCGGAGUCCCCAUCCCUCCCGCCAAGCCAUAUUCUGUUGGAUGAGCUUCAGUGCCUACCAGACAGCCUUUAUCUGCCUUGGGCUCCUGGUGCAGCAGAUCAUCUUCUUCCUGGGAACCACGGCCCUGGCCUUCCUGGUGCUCAUGCCUGUGCUCCAUGGCAGGAACCUCCUGCUCUUCCGUUCCCUGGAGUCCUCGUGGCCCUUCUGGCUGACUUUGGCCCUGGCUGUGAUCCUGCAGAACAUGGCAGCCCAUUGGGUCUUCCUGGAGACUCAUGAUGGACACCCACAGCUGACCAACCGGCGAGUGCUCUAUGCAGCCACCUUUCUUCUCUUCCCCCUCAAUGUGCUGGUGGGUGCCAUGGUGGCCACCUGGCGAGUGCUCCUCUCUGCCCUCUACAACGCCAUCCACCUUGGCCAGAUGGACCUCAGCCUGCUGCCACCGAGAGCCGCCACUCUCGACCCCGGCUACUACACGUACCGAAACUUCUUGAAGAUUGAAGUCAGCCAGUCGCAUCCAGCCAUGACAGCCUUCUGCUCCCUGCUCCUGCAAGCGCAGAGCCUCCUACCCAGGACCAUGGCAGCCCCCCAGGACAGCCUCAGACCAGGGGAGGAAGACGAAGGGAUGCAGCUGCUACAGACAAAGGACUCCAUGGCCAAGGGAGCUAGGCCCGGGGCCAGCCGCGGCAGGGCUCGCUGGGGUCUGGCCUACACGCUGCUGCACAACCCAACCCUGCAGGUCUUCCGCAAGACGGCCCUGUUGGGUGCCAAUGGUGCCCAGCCCUGAGGGCAGGGAAGGUCAACCCACCUGCCCAUCUGUGCUGAGGCAUGUUCCUGCCUACCAUCCUCCUCCCUCCCCGGCUCUCCUCCCAGCAUCACACCAGCCAUGCAGCCAGCAGGUCCUCCGGAUCACUGUGGUUGGGUGGAGGUCUGUCUGCACUGGGAGCCUCAGGAGGGCUCUGCUCCACCCACUUGGCUAUGGGAGAGCCAGCAGGGGUUCUGGAGAAAGAAACUGGUGGGUUAGGGCCUUGGUCCAGGAGCCAGUUGAGCCAGGGCAGCCACAUCCAGGCGUCUCCCUACCCUGGCUCUGCCAUCAGCCUUGAAGGGCCUCGAUGAAGCCUUCUCUGGAACCACUCCAGCCCAGCUCCACCUCAGCCUUGGCCUUCACGCUGUGGAAGCAGCCAAGGCACUUCCUCACCCCCUCAGCGCCACGGACCUCUCUGGGGAGUGGCCGGAAAGCUCCCGGGCCUCUGGCCUGCAGGGCAGCCCAAGUCAUGACUCAGACCAGGUCCCACACUGAGCUGCCCACACUCGAGAGCCAGAUAUUUUUGUAGUUUUUAUGCCUUUGGCUAUUAUGAAAGAGGUUAGUGUGUUCCCUGCAAUAAACUUGUUCCUGAG
rnacentral:misc_RNA from 1 species